GUGGGGGAUAUUGCACAAUGGAGGAAACUCUGAUGCAGCAACGCCGCGUGAGUGAUGAAGUAGUUCGCUACGUAAAGCUCUAUCAGUAGGGAAGAUAAUGACGGUACCUACACAAGAAGCUCCGGCUAAAUACGUGCCAGCAGCCGCGGUAAUACGUAUGGAGCAAGCGUUAUCCGGAUUUACUGGGUGUAAAGGGAGCGUAGACUGCAUGGCAAGUCAGAUGUGAAAGCCCGGGGCUUAACCUCGGAACUGCAUUUGAAACUGCCAAGCUAGAGUACAGGAGAGGUAAGUGGAAUUCCUAGUGUAGCGGUGAAAUGCGUAGAUAUUAGGAGGAACACCGGUGGCGAAGGCGGCUUACUGGACUGUAACUGACGUUGAGGCUCGAAAGCGUGGGGAGCAAACAGGAUUAGAAACCCCAGUAGUCC
rnacentral:rRNA from 1 species